AUACGUAGGGGGCGAGCGUUGUCCGGAAUGAUUGGGCGUAAAGGGCGCGUAGGCGGCGCGGUAAGUCUGGAGUGAAAGUCCUGCUUUCAAGGUGGGAAUUGCUUUGGAUACUGCCGCGCUUGAGUGCAGGAGAGGUUAUCGGAAUUCCCGGUGUAGCGGUGAAAUGCGUAGAGAUCGGGAGGAACACCAGUGGCGAAGGCGGGUAACUGGACUGCUACUGACGCUGAGGCGCGAAAGCGUGGGGAGCGAACAGGAUUAGAUACCCUGGUAGUCCACGCUGUAAACGAUGAAUGCUAGGUGUAGGGGGUAUCGACCCCUCCUGUGCCGGAGUAAACGCAAUAAGCAUUCCGCCUGGGGAGUACGGCCGCAAGGUUGAAACUCAAAGGAAUUGACGGGG
rnacentral:rRNA from 1 species